AACGAACGCUGGCGGCAGGCCUAACACAUGCAAGUCGAACGCUGUAGCAAUACAGAGUGGCAGACGGGUGAGUAACGCGUGGGAAUAUGCCCUUCAGUACGGAAUAACUCAGGGAAACUUGUGCUAAUACCGUAUACGCCCUCUUGGGGAAAGAUUUAUCGCUGAAGGAUUAGCCCGCGUCUGAUUAGCUAGUUGGUGGGGUAAUGGCCUACCAAGGCGACGAUCAGUAGCUGGUCUGAGAGGAUGAUCAGCCACACUGGGACUGAGACACGGCCCAGACUCCUACGGGAGGCAGCAGUGGGGAAUAUUGGACAAUGGGCGCAAGCCUGAUCCAGCCAUGCCGCGUGAGUGAUGAAGGCCUUAGGGUUGUAAAGCUCUUUCGUUGGGGAAGAUAAUGACGGUACCCAAAGAAGAAGCCCCGGCUAACUUCGUGCCAGCCGCCGCCGUAAUAC
rnacentral:rRNA from 1 species